UCUAGUUGGAAGGUUGAAAACAUCUCUCUCUAUCAGAGAUUAAAACUAAGUCGGUAGUUUCACAACAAUAUUUCAAUCUUUUGGUAGUUAUUAGAUCCCUGGUUAAACAAUGAAGAUUGGCAAGGCAUACAGUUGAAAUGCACUGUAACUAUUGGGGCAUGAUGAGAUAAAAGAAGCCAUGUAUUGGUUUUUGCUUUUUCUCUUUUUUCUUAAACUUCUUAGCAGAUGAUGUCAGCUCCAAGUCCAGGCAUUGAGAAGUUGCAUGCUGUCACCUCAUAGCAGUACAGCUUCCUAUUGAUUCGAGAUUCUGUUGUCUUGGAAAAUUUUAAGGUAAACAAGUAAUAAUGAGUUUGAAUUAACUGCAAAUUUGCUGUUCUUUCUUAAGUUAAAAGUAUGAUGCAGGUUUUGUCAGGAAAAAAAGAAAGAAAGUAUUGCGCAGGUCCAUCUUAUCUUAAAUGCAAUGUAACCCUCCUCUAAUCUUUCUAGAAAGAAUAAAUAGAAGUAUUGCUUAGGUGCAGCCUUCCCAUAUUUCCAAGUUCAAUCAGAACAUGAAAUCAUACACUUUCCUCUUUUUUUCCCUUUAUUUUUUUUUUCUGCCUAAUGAAAGAUUUCAAGCACCAAGAAGUAUGUUGUCAAUUAUUUUAACAAUGCUUAUUGGGUGAUUUUCAUUUUCACCAAUGAAAAAGAUCCAUGCUUAUUUGACAUGUUCAAAAUUCCUGCUUCCAAGACUAGGUUUCCAGCUAACGAAAUGAGAAGCCAGCUAACUUGAUUUCCCAGUUACACUUGUUAAAUUGAGAUGCAUCGAAGGCCAAAAAGGACUUUGGAAAUACUCUUCGUUUGAGGAUUUUUCCAGCUCAAAUGACACUUAAAUCUGGUUGUCCCAGAAAAAUUGGAGCGAAAUUUCCAGUGAACAGAACCUUCAUAGUGGAGCCAAUGCUUCUUAAGAACAUCAUUUUAGAUCUGAAAUGAAGGGUCAGAUCGUUAAAACUCUAACCGGCUGUGUAUUCUUACAGCUACUUCCUGAAUUUUGGAACCACUAAACAGUUCCAGCAGGAUUGACCAUAAAGAGCUUCAAGUCACCAAUAUUCGUUUUACAAACACAACUAAAUUGUAUACCCCCAACAUAUUAUUACUUAGAUUUGUUAAAGUUCUUCA
rnacentral:lncRNA from 1 species